rnacentral:lncRNA from 1 species
CUUCAAAAAAUUAAAGCUUUCAUGAUGAAAUGACCCGUUAAUCUAUGUGUACCAAGGUUGAAGCUAUGGUAACGUGGUAACCGUGAAUUUCCCGAUUGCCAGUAAUUCCAUGCUGAGAUGUUGCAUCUGCAUAGCUAUGCGAUAUGAACUUAUAAAUAUGUAGAUACUUCUUAAUUCGACAUAAAAUCCGAUGUCUUAUGUGACCAUGUACUAAAACAUGAAACUUCAAUUAAGUACCUGGGGUGCACCAUCACAAACCAACUAGACAGGGGAGAACACAUCAACACCAUUACCAGCAAAGCAAGCAGAAGCCUUGGUUUCAUCCAUAGAAAACUACACAUCGGCUCUGAAAGCACUAAAGAGCAAGCAUACAAAACUCUAAUAAGGCCACAACAUUAUGUGACCCAUAUCAUUAAAAACAUAGUGAACAAAUUGAAAAAAUCAAAGAAGGGCUGCGCGAUACGUCACCAUGCGCUACAGAAACAGAUCAAGUGUCACAGAUGAGAUUAAUGA